rnacentral:rRNA from 1 species
CCUACGGGAGGCAGCAGUGGGGGAUAUUGCACAAUGGGGGGAACCCUGAUGCAGCGACGCCGCGUGGGUGAAGAAGCGCCUCGGCGCGUAAAGCCCUGUCAGCAGGGAAGAAAAUGACGGUACCUGAAGAAGAAGCCCCGGCUAACUACGUGCCAGCAGCCGCGGUAAUACGUAGGGGGCAAGCGUUAUCCGGAUGUACUGGGUGGAAAGGGGGCGCAGACGGCGAUGCAAGCCAGGAGUGAAAGCCCGGGGCCCAACCCCGGGACUGCUCUUGGAAAUGCGUGGCUGGAGUGCAGGAGGGGCAGGCGGAAUUCCUGGUGUAGCGGUGAAAUGCGUAGAUAUCAGGAGGAACACCGGUGGUGAAGGCGGCCUGCUGGACUGCAACUGACGUUGAGGCCCGAAAGCGUGGGGAGCAAACAGGAUUAGAUACCCUAGUAGUC